UGUUUGUGCUCGUGGGUCCAGAGUG
rnacentral:miRNA from 1 species